AGGUUCCGAUGUAACUGGCGACGCGAAGUGGAGAAACCACGGUGGAGCAUCGGAAUGACGGCCGGUCGCCUGGGCGAAGAGC
rnacentral:ncRNA from 2 species